rnacentral:rRNA from 1 species
AGUGAACGCUGGCGGCAGGCCUAACACAUGCAAGUCGAACGGCAGCACAGUAAGAGCUUGCUCUUAUGGGUGGCGAGUGGCGGACGGGUGAGGAAUACAUCGGAAUCUACCUUUUCGUGGGGGAUAACGUAGGGAAACUUACGCUAAUACCGCAUACGACCUUCGGGUGAAAGCAGGGGACCUUCGGGCCUUGCGCGAUUAGAUGAGCCGAUGUCGGAUUAGCUAGUUGGUGAGGUAAAGGCUCACCAAGGCGACGAUCCGUAGCUGGUCUGAGAGGAUGAUCAGCCACACUGGAACCGAGACACGGUCCAGACUCCUACGGGAGGCAGCAGUGGGGAAUAUUGGACAAUGGGCGCAAGCCUGAUCCAGCCAUGCCGCGUGGGUGAAGAAGGCCUUCGGGUUGUAAAGCCCUUUUGUUGGGAAAGAAAAGCAGUCGAUUAAUACUCGAUUGUUCUGACGGUACCCAAAGAAUAAGCACCGGCUAACUUCGUGCCAGCCGCCGCAGUAACAC